rnacentral:rRNA from 1 species
UACGAAGGGGGCUAGCGUUGCUCGGAAUCACUGGGCGUAAAGCGCACGUAGGCGGCACUGUUAGUCAGGCGUGAAAUUCCUGGGCUCAACCUGGGGACUGCGCUUGAUACGGCAGAGCUUGAGGAUGGAAGAGGGUCGCGGAAUUCCCAGUGUAGAGGUGAAAUUCGUAGAUAUUGGGAAGAACACCGGUGGCGAAGGCGGGUCUCUGGGCAUCUCCUGACGCUGAGGCGCGAAAGCGUGGGGAGCAAACGGG